UUACUUUCUUUUUUUUGGUACAGGGGAUCGAACUCGAGUCCUUGAGCUUGUGAGGCAGGUGGCGGAACCACUGAGCUAAAUCCCCAGCCUCUUUUCUCUUCUUUUUUGACAACUGCUAAUAGAGAUGCAGAGAUGGAGGUCAUUACCAUGAAACACACUGACACCUGGAAAUACAGAGGUCCCAGGGGCCCUCAGAAAACUCCGAAUGACCUUUAUUCAACCACGGCAUGAAUGCAGAAGGGAUGAGGACCACCAAUAUUUCUCCAAAGAGAUCCCUUUCUAGUCAUACUGUUUUGUCAUUUGAAAUUAGUGUUUAAGAUUGAAUGGAUUUUGCCUGUGGACACAUCAUAAGACUUUGACUUAGAGAGCCAUUUGGAAGAAAGACUAACGAAGUGGUGGGUUAACUUAAGAAAAUGGGAACAAGUUUGUUGCAAAG
rnacentral:lncRNA from 1 species